rnacentral:rRNA from 1 species
GGCUCAGGAUGAACGCUAGCGGCAGGCUUAACACAUGCAAGUCGAGGGGUAUAGGUUUUCGGAUCUAGAGACCGGCGCACGGGUGCGUAACGCGUAUGCAAUCUACCUUUUACAGGGGAAUAGCCCAGAGAAAUUUGGAUUAAUGCCCCAUAGUAUAUAUGAAUCGCAUGGUUUAUAUAUUAAAGUUCCAACGGUAAAAGAUGAGCAUGCGUCCCAUUAGUUAGUUGGUAAGGUAACGGCUUACCAAGACUAUGAUGGGUAGGGGUCCUGAGAGGGAGAUCCCCCACACUGGUACUGAGACACGGACCAGACUCCUACGGGAGGCAGCAGUGAGGAAUAUUGGACAAUGGGCGCAAGCCUGAUCCAGCCAUGCCGCGUGCAGGAAGAAGCAUCUAUGGUGUGUAAACUGCUUUUGUACAGGAAGAAACACUCCCUCGUGAGGGAGCUUGACGGUACUGUAAGAAUAAGGAUCGGCUAACUCCGUGCCAGCAGCCGCGGUAAUACGGAGGAUCCAAGCGUUAUCCGGAAUCAUUGGGUUUAAAGGGUCCGUAGGCGGUUUAAUAAGUCAGUGGUGAAAUCUGGUCGCUCAACGAUCAAACGGCCAUUGAUACUGUUAGACUUGAAUUACUAGGAAGUAACUAGAAUAUGUAGUGUAGCGGUGAACUGCUUAGAUAUUACAUGGAAUACCAAUUGCGAAGGCAGGUUACUACUAGUGGAUUGACGCUGAUGGACGAAAGCGUGGGGAGCGAACAGGAUUAGAUACCCUGGUAGUCCACGCCGUAAACGAUGGAUACUAGCUGUUGGGCGCAAGUUCAGUGGCUAAGCGAAAGUGAUAAGUAUCCCACCUGGGGAGUACGUUCGCAAGAAUGAAACUCAAAGGAAUUGACGGGGGCCCGCACAGCGGUGGAG